UGGAGAGUUUGAUCCUGGCUCAGGACGAACGCUGGCGGCGUGCUUAACACAUGCAAGUCGAACGGUAAGGCCCUUCGGGGUACACGAGUGGCGAACGGGUGAGUAACACGUGGGUAAUCUGCCCUGCACAUCGGGAUAAGCCUGGGAAACUGGGUCUAAUACCGAAUAGGACCACAGAACACAUGUCCUGUGGUGGAAAGCUUUUGCGGUGUGGGAUGGGCCCGCGGCCUAUCAGCUUGUUGGUGGGGUGAUGGCCCACCAAGGCGACGACGGGUAGCCGGCCUGAGAGGGUGUCCGGCCACACUGGGACUGAGAUACGGCCCAGACUCCUACGGGAGGCAGCAGUGGGGAAUAUUGCACAAUGGGCGAAAGCCUGAUGCAGCGACGCCGCGUGGGGGAUGACGGCCUUCGGGUUGUAAACCUCUUUCACCAUCGACGAAGGUUCGGGUUUUCUCGGAUUGACGGUAGGUGAGAAGAAGCACCGGCCAACUACGUGCCAGCAGCCGCGGUA
rnacentral:rRNA from 1 species